CAUGAGCAGAGCAUGCAGCCAGCAGCCCCCUCUCACUGCCUGUGCUCUAUCACAGCUCACAUCUGCAGCCCUGCUUAAACAAGGAUAAUGGAACAUUAGUUUUGGAUCCCUCACAGGCUGUAGCAAGCAGAACUCUUUAAUAGCUGAGGGGGCAGAAAAAAAGAGGAAAGUGCUUGUUCUUGCUGUUUUCAGAAGAACUAUAGCCCAUUGUCUCCUGCCCAGGUGACAAUGUUGCGCUUGGCUUGUCUUUGUUGCUGCCUUUCCACGAUUUGCAGCUGGACAAGCUUUCAACACCAGGUCCCAGCCUACAAGAGCUCCCCCUCGCAAGUUUUCCAGCUUGUAGCAGAAUGGGGGAAGCAGCCCCAGGAGCCCACAGAUAGCUCUGAGAACAGGGUGGAGAAGAUGGGACAGUAUUUCAAAAAGAAUAUCAGGAGACUGAGGGAGAAGAGUCAGAACCUGGAUCUUGUCUUCCUAGUGGAUGAGUCUACAAGCGUGGGCCACGCAAACUUCGUCAAUGAGCUGAGGUUCGUAAAGAAGCUGCUCUCUGACUUCCCCGUGGUACCUUCUGCCACCAGAGUGGCCAUUGUCACCUACGCAUCUAAACACAGCGUGCAGACCAGGGUAGAUUACAUCUCAUCCAACCAGUCCCAUCAGCACAAGUGCUCCUUGCUCAAUAGAGAGAUACCUGCCAUCACCUAUAAAGGAGGAGGGACCUACACCAAGGGAGCUUUCCAGCAGGCAGCG